CAGGGAGCCUGGAAUGGCUUAGAUGGUCCCUUUGGCAGAAAAGCCUCUAGAGAUAGGUCAGGAGGGACCCAGGACCUAAGCUCUCAGCGAGGCAAGGGACAGAGAGGAGGAAAGAGGUCCCUCGGGGAGCAGGGGUCCCUGGGGGCUGAGAAUGGUGAGGUCCAGGGUCCUGGGGCCCUAAAGGAGGAUGAAGGGCAGGGAGUGGAAGAGGCUGGGAGGUCAGGCAGGAGGCCUGGCUCACUCAGGAGUAGGUCUCAGGCACAGUCAGGGGCUGAGGUUGGAGGAGGAAAGAGAAGGGGAGCAGACGAGGCUGGAAGCAUGGGGUGGCAGCCUAUGGGAGAGAACUGGGGGUGCCUGGAGGAGAUGCUGAAUGAAGAUCAGAGCCGGGAGCCGCCUGGUCACCUUGGUAGCAGGAGAAGUGGCAAAGACGGCAGGUUGGACAUCUGUGGAGAGAGGAGAGAUGCUACCCGGAGUUCCACAUCCAGAUACAAGCCUGGCACUGGCAGUUUCUCCAAGGAUGCCCGAGGCCCCAUGGGCCACUUCUCCCAGGGCCUGGCUGACAUGGAAGUGCAGCCGGGGGAGGCUGCCACACUCUCCUGUACCCUCACCAGUGACCUGGGACCCGGCACCUGGUUUAAGGAUGGCGUCAAGCUCACCGCCCAGGAUGGAGUCAUCUUUAAGCAAGAUGGUCUCGUGCACAGCCUCUUCAUCACGCAUGUGCAGGGGACCCAAGCUGGGAGGUACACCUUUGUAGCUGGUGACCAGCAGAGCGAGGCCACCCUGACUGUCCAGGAUUCCCCUACCAUUGCUCCAGAUGUGACAGAGAAACUGAGAGAGCCACUGGUGGUCAAGGCUGGGAAGCCGGUGAUAGUGAAGAUCCCCUUCCAGAGCCACCUCCCCAUUCAGGCUGCCUGGAGGAAGGACGGGGCUGAGGUGGUGGGCAGCAGUGACAGGGAGGCCCAGGUGGACCUGGGGGAUGGCUACACGCGGCUGUGCCUCCCCAGCGCAAGCAGGAAGGACUGUGGCCAGUACAGCGUGACGCUGAGGAGCAAGGGAGGCUCUGUGCAGGCCGAGCUCACUCUGCAAGUCAUAGGUACCAGCCCUGUCUUCCCCCACCUAAGGCCUGAGAGUCCCUGGGGUUCUGGGCCCUCCCUGCCAUCAAGGGCAGGCCUGGGGUAUGAUCUCUGCUGGCUCUGAUCCUCAUUUGCAUGCUGUUUAAGAUCCAGACCUACCCCUAACUCUGCUCAGACUGCUUAGGAAGAAGCAGUUGAGAUGAACACAGUGCUGGGCUCCUGCUCGGGGGGAGGAGCCAGUUAUGCUUCUCUGACCCCAAUACACUGGGCCCUCAGGAAGUUGCUGGGUAGGAUGGUGGUCCCCAGCCCUGAGUGGUGCCCGCAAGACAAGCCUGAUCCCCCACAAGGCCCCAUGGAGGUUCAGGAUUGCCAUAGGGCUGGCGUCUGCCUCCGCUGGCGGCCCCCAAGGGACAAUGGGGGCCGGACUGUAGAGUGCUACGUGGUGGAGAGACGGCAGGCUGGCAGGAGCACUUGGCUGAAGGUGGGCGAGGCCCCCGCUGACAGCACCACCUUCACGGAUGCCCAUGUGGAGCCAGGCAGGAAGUAUACCUUCCGAGUGCGGGCUGUGACCUCAGAGGGGGCUGGCGAGGCCCUGGAGUCCGAGGAGAUAUUGGUGGCUCCUGAGGCUCUCCCCAAGGCCCCUUCUGCGCCAGCCAUCCUGUCGGCCUCCAGCCAGGGCAUCACACUGACAUGGACAGCACCUCGGGGCCCUGGCAGCGCCCACAUCCUGGGCUACCUGAUCGAGAGGCGUAAGAAGGGGAGCAACACCUGGACAGCAGUGAACGACCAGCCAGUGCCUGAGAGGAGAUGGACGGUGGCGGACGUGCGGCAGGGCUGUCAGUAUGAGUUCCGGGUCACAGCUGUGGCUCCCUCAGGUCCCGGAGAGCCUGGACCUCCAUCGGAUGCCGUCUUUGCUCGGGACCCCAUGAGACCCCCUGGGCCGGUGAGGAAUCUCCAAGUCACAGACAGAUCGAACACCAGCAUCACUCUGAGCUGGGCUGGGCCAGACACCCAGGACGGGGAUGAAGCCCAGGGGUAUGUGGUGGAGCUGUGCAGCUCAGACAGUCUCCAGUGGCUCCCGUGCCAUGCGGGCACCGUGCCAGUCACCACCUACACGGCCAAGGGGCUUCGGCCUGGAGAGGGCUACUUCGUGCGGGUGACAGCAGUUAAUGAAGGAGGCCAGAGCCAGCCCAUUGCCCUGGACACAUUAGUGCAAGCCAUGCCUGUUACUGUCUGUCCCAAGUUCCUCGUGGACUCCAGCACCAAGGACUUGCUGACAGUCAAGGUCGGGGACACGGUUCGUGUGCCCGCCUCCUUUGAACAUGCCCGCAGGCGCCUGGGCCCAUCCACCUGCAGGAGAACGUGCCUGGGACGGUGACGGCUGAGUGGGAACCCUCUCCUGACGAGGCCCAGGAUGUCCCGCUGCACUACGCGGUGUUCACACGCUCCUCAGCGCACGGUCCCUGGCGCGAGGCAGCCGACCGCAUCCACACCAACCACUUCACCCUCCUGGGCAUCCUCCCCGGCCACGAAUACCACUUCAGGGUGGUGGCCAAGAAUGAGCUGGGGGCCAGCAAACCCUCGGACACCAGCCAGCCCUGGUGCAUCCCCCGGCAGCGCGACAGGUUCACAGUGAAGGCUCCGAGCUACCGGGAGCCCGACCUGAGCCAGAAGCCCCGGUUCCUGGUGGGCCUGCGGUCCCACCUGCUGCCCCAGGGCUGUGAGUGCUGCAUGAGCUGUGCCGUGCAGGGCUCACCCCGGCCCCACGUCACCUGGUUCAAGAACGACCGCAGCCUGGAAGGAAACCCCGCGGUGUACAGCACCGACCUGCUGGGCGUGUGCUCCCUCACCAUCCCCAGCGUAUCCCCGAAGGACAGCGGGGAGUACAAGGCUGUGGCUGAGAACACGCUGGGCCAGGCAGUCAGCACUGCCACCCUCAUUGUCAUAGAACCCAGCACCUAGCCUCACCUCACCCUGGGAUGGUCCUGGACCCUUGAAGCUUCACUUCCGACACCUGCACUGGCCCGGGAAGCCAAUCCCAAGGAUGGAGGCUGUGCCCAGAGCCCCAGGAAAAUGGGAGUGAGAAGAUGCCUGGCGAGGUUUUGGCCAGGAGGACGUGAAGUCCUUGGGGAAGAAAAACAAGGGAGGAGGGCAUUCCACCUCCUGGCUCCAAGCUAAGUCACUCAACAGAAUGACAGCAAACCUCCUGGACCCUCACCAUAUGGGUUUCUUUCUUCUUCGCUUCGGAGAUCCAGAGGGCACCUGCCUGCAGGAUGGGCCGGCUCCUUAUUUUCCUGGGCUGAGCCCUUUGGAGGGAGGGUGGGCACAGCUGGGCCUGCUGUGACCACUGGGAGGGAAGAGGAGAGGAGGUCAGAGGACAUGGGUGAGGACUAGGGCAUCAAGGGCGUGUGUGUGGGUGGGGGCAGCCUCCACCUCCUGGAUUCAAGAGAUUCCAGGGUUGCAGCAUGUGCUUUCUGUAUGUUUCUUCAUUAAAACAUUAGGCUAAUAUAGGCA
rnacentral:sRNA from 1 species